rfam:Nicotiana attenuata strain TT chromosome 4, whole genome shotgun sequence.
AUACCUUUCUCGGCCUUUUGGCUAAGAUCAAGUGUAAUAUUUGUUCUUAUCAGUUUAAUAUUUACUAUGUGGGCCAUUGGCCCACAUGAUAUUAACUUAAUUUUUUAAGGGGGAAAGUCCAUCAAGGUAUCUUGUUAUUUGGGUCUUCGUGCGUCGCCUAGGGUGUUCAAAUCGAUUUGGUUCGUGCGUCGCCU